rnacentral:rRNA from 1 species
UACAGAGGUCUCAAGCGUUAUUCGGAAUUAUUGGGCGUAAAGGGCGCGUAGGCGGGUGCUCAAGUCCGUGGUGAAAUCCUCCGGCUCAACCGGAGAACUGCCUCGGAUACUGGGCGUCUCGAGUGUGGUAGGGGUAUGCGGAACUAUCGGUGGAGCGGUGAAAUGCGUUGAUAUCGAUAGGAACUCCGGUGGCGAAGGCGGCAUACUGGACCACCACUGACGCUGAUGCGCGAAGGCUAGGGGAGCAAACGGG